CCUACGGGAGGCAGCAGUGGGGAAUAUUGGACAAUGGGGGAAACCCUGAUCCAGCGACGCCGCGUGAGUGAAGAAGUAUUUCGGUAUGUAAAGCUCUAUCAGCAGGGAAGAAAAUGACGGUACCUGACUAAGAAGCCCCGGCUAACUACGUGCCAGCAGCCGCGGUAAUACGUAGGGGGCAAGCGUUAUCCGGAUUUACUGGGUGUAAAGGGAGCGUAGACGGCACUGCAAGUCUGGAGUGAAAGCCCGGGGCUCAACCCCGGGACUGCUUUGGAAACUGUGGUGCUAGAGUGCAGGAGAGGUAAGUGGAAUUCCUAGUGUAGCGGUGAAAUGCGUAGAUAUUAGGAGGAACACCAGUGGCGAAGGCGGCUUACUGGACUGUAACUGACGUUGAGGCUCGAAAGCGUGGGGAGCAAACAGGAUUAGAUACCCGAGUAGUC
rnacentral:rRNA from 1 species